ACACCAGCGCCACAAGUGGAAUCAGUUUUAUUGGGCCUAAAGCGUUCGUAGCCGGUUAAGUAAAUCCUUUGUGAAAUCGUUGUUCUUAAUGCAACGGCGUGCAGAGGAGACUGCUUAACUAGGGACCGGGAGGGGUUAGGAGUAUGUCUGGGGGAGCGGUAAAAUGCUAUAAUCCUAGAUGGACUACCUUUGGCGAAGGCGCCUAACCAGAACGGAUUCGACGGUGAGGAACGAAAGCUGGGGGAGCGAUCCGGAUUAGAUACCCGAGUAGUCCCAGCCGUAAACGCUGCCAACUAGAUGUUGCGCAUACCUCGAGUAUGUGCAGUAUCGUAGCGAAAGUGUUAAGUUGGCCGCCUGGGAAGUAUAGCCGCAAG
rnacentral:rRNA from 1 species